ACAUCUAGGGUUUCCCCAACUUCUCUCUCGCAUCUCAAUGGAUCUUCAUCUCCACGCUUCAAAUCAAGGGUGUGUUUGAUAAUUUCCGCUCUUCCGUCCAAUCCAUCUGCCUCAUUGAUUCGAUUCAGUAUUCUUCACUCAAAAGCUUUCAUGAUACAGGUCCACUCUGAUUGAAUCAUAACUUGGUCUUAAAAGUUGGAGUUCAUAUCAAGGCUUCAAAUCAAGGGUUUGUUGAUCUUCGAUUUGUUUUCUUUUCUGACAAAUAAAUGUCGUCUGCACAAAGAUCUGAUUUUUGCAAUCUCCUUAUUGCCCUUUGGUUCAAGCAAAUCCAUUCGAAAGGAUCCAAACAUCAGGUAACCAAUA